rnacentral:lncRNA from 1 species
CCCGCGCUCCUCCGGGCAGAGCGCGUGUGGCGGCCGAGCACAUGGGCCCGCGGGCCGGGCGGGCUCGGGGCGGCCGGGACGAGGAGGGGCGACGACGAGCUGCGAGCAAAGAUGUGCCCCGGGACCCCCGGCACCUUCCAGUGGAUUUCCUUGCGGAAAGGAUGUUGGCGGUCCCUGUGACCUGUGGAGACACGGCCAGAUCUGCCCUCCAGCCUGAUCUUUUGGCCAGAAGGAGAUUAAAAAGAUGCCCCUCAAGAUGGCUGUGCCUGUCAGCUGCAUGGAGCUUCGUUCAAGUAUUUUCUGAGCCUGAUGGAUUUACAGUGAUCUUCAGUGGUCUGGGGAAUAACGCUGGUGGAACCAUGCACUGGAAUGACACACGCCCGGCACAUUUCAGGAUACUAAAAGUGGUUUUAAGGGAGGCUGUGGCUGAAUGCCUCAUGGAUUCUUACAGCUUGGAUGUCCAUGGGGGACGAAGGACUGCAGCUGGCUGAGAGGGUUGAGAUCUCUGUUUACUUAGAUCUCUGCCAACUUCCUUUGGGUCUCCCUAUGGAAUGUAAGACCCCGACUCUUCCUGGUGAAGCAUCUGAUGCACGUUCCAUCCGGCGCUCAGCUGGGCUUGAGCUGACCAUACUCCCUGGAGCCUUCUCCCGAGGUGCGCGGGUGACCUUGGCACAUACAGCCAUCAUGAUGGUACUUUAAGUGGAGGCUGAAUCAUCUCCCCUUUGAGCUGCUUGGCACGUGGCUCCCUUGGUGUUCCCCUUUUACUGCCAGGACACUGAGAUUUGGAGAGAAUCCUGUUACACCUGGGAUUUAGGCACUUUCAAUCUGAAAAAAUACAUAUCCUUUCAGCACUCUGGACGGACUUGAGAACUGUCCUUACGUGACCUAAAGCUGGAGUAUUUUGAGAUUGGAGAAUUAAGGCCUUCAGUGGGUUGAAUGAGGCCCAACCCACAUUGAAGAGGACCAUCUGCUUUACUCAGUCUCCUGGUUGAAGUGAUAAUCUCAUCUGGACAUACUCAGAAAUGCUGUUUAACCAGCUCUCUGGAAAUCCUGUGGCCCAGUCAAGUUGACACACAAAAUUAACCAUCACACUGCAGAGACACAGUCUAUCCCAAUACCUGUAUUUACUGGGUAACGUGCAUCUCAGCUCACCAGGCUGGUUUGAUUGACUUGGCCCAAAGCUGCCCUUUGAGUGUUGAGCCCCAGCUGACCCCUUUGAUCCUUCACAGCCCCAUCAUUAAAACAAGGACCCUGAAUCAAGUGACUAGUGUGGGCACCCUGGCUUCAAGCUCACGAGAAACCAGAAGGAAGUCACUGUGCAUAGCCAUCCCCUAAGAAGAGGGCAUUCCUGCUCUUCCUUCUCCAUGGCUAGAGGAUCUACAUGAACUAUUUAGAUUUUUUCUACCUGGGAGAUUUAACUCCUCUCUCCUAUUUAUUUAUUUAUAUAUCAGCAUGGACUUGCAGGCCAACAGAGAUUUUGAGAAACACAUUGAAGGAUCUGUUAACACUUGAUAUACCCAAUAAAAGCAGUGGUUGUGCCAGUGCUGAUCUGUCUUGAUGUGAAUGUGAACAAUGGGAACCUGAGCUGAGCAGUUAAUGCUAGGGUGACAGAAACUGGACCUCUCCCAAGACAUGUGACAGAGUAAUACAGCAGCCAACUUCUUCGCCAAAUUAAAGUUUUACAAGAUUUAACCUGUCAUCAAGACCUGGGAUUUUGGUGAGCCAGUCUUGGUGCUCUGUGUUCACCUGGUUCAUCUGAGGAGCUGCAUCUACCCUGCCCAUGCCAUAGAUCCUGCCCUGUUUGCUUCUCCUGUUGCUGCUAGUGGACAUGAGGUAACCACAGCCUAGUUCUGUGAUAAGCUCUUCACACCUGUACCCAUAUGGACUGUGGGAGAGUUUCUCUGAUAUGGACUGUGAUGCGGAAGGACAGAAUAACGGGCUCCCAGAUUCACAAGCCCCACCAAGAGGAUCACCCCAGGAACGCUUGGAGGCUGAGGAGUUCACUGAGGCUACUGCAUCUUGAGACUCAGGAUGAAGACCCAGCUUGGGGCUGUCAAAGGUUUUUUGCAUGUCUGACACCCAUGACUCCACCUGGACCUUAUGGCUCCACCCAGAAGCAAUUCAGCCCAACAGGAGGACAGCUUCAACCCAUUACGAUUUCAUCUCUGCCCCAACCACUCAGCAGCAAGCACCUGUUACCUGUCCACCCCCACCCCUUCCCCCAAACUGCCUUUGAAAAAUCCCUAACCUAUGAGCUUUGAAUAAGAUGAGUACGAACUUCAUCGCCCACGUGGCGUGGCCGGCCUCGUGUCUAUUAAAUUCUUUUUCUACUACAA